CCUACGGGGCGCACCAGUGGGGAAUAUUGGACAAUGGGGGCAACCCUGAUCCAGCAAUGCCGCGUGUGUGAAGAAGGCCUGCGGGUUGUAAAGCACUUUCAGUAGGGAGGAAACGCUGAAGGAUAAUACCCUUCAGUUUUGACGUUACCUACAGAAGAAGCACCGGCUAACUCUGUGCCAGCAGCCGCGGUAAUACAGAGGGUGCGAGCGUUAAUCGGAAUUACUGGGCGUAAAGCGCACGUAGGUGGUUUGAUAAGUCGGAUGUGAAAGCCCUGGGCUCAACCUGGGAAUUGCACUCGAUACUGUCAGGCUAGAGUAUGGUAGAGGGGGGCAGAAUUCCCGGUGUAGCGGUGAAAUGCGUAGAUAUCGGGAGGAAUACCAGUGGCGAAGGCGGCCCCCUGGACCAAUACUGACACUGAGGUGCGAAAGCGUGGGUAGCAAACAGGAUUAGAUACCCGAGUAGUC
rnacentral:rRNA from 1 species